CCCUUAGAUGUUCUGGGCCGCACACGCGCUACACUGAAGGAGGCAGCGUGUACUCCUGGAUCGAAAGAUUUGGGUAACCCGCGAAUCUCCUUCGUGCUAGGGAUUGAGGUUUGCAAUUAUCCUUCAUGAACGCGGAAUUCCCAGUAAGUGCAAGUCAUAAGCUUGCGCUGACUACGUCCCUGCCCUUUGUACACACCGCCCGUCGCUACUACCGAUUGAAUGAUUUAGUGAGGACUUCGGACUGGGACCGAUGCGGCUUUCGGGCUGCGUCGGUAUUCUGGAAAGAUGUCCAAACUGUAUCAUUUAGAGGAAGUAAAAGUCGUAACA
rnacentral:rRNA from 1 species